rnacentral:rRNA from 1 species
GACGAACGCUGGCGGCGUGCUUAACACAUGCAAGUCGAACGGAAAGGCCCUGCUUGCAGGGUACUCGAGUGGCGAACGGGUGAGUAACACGUGGGUGAUCUGCCCUGCACUUCGGGAUAAGCUUGGGAAACUGGGUCUAAUACCGGAUAGGAACCAUCUUUAGUGUGGUGGUUGGAAAGUUUUUUCGGUGUAGGAUGAGCUCGCGGCCUAUCAGCUUGUUGGUGGGGUAAUGGCCUACCAAGGCGGCGACGGGUAGCCGGCCUGAGAGGGUGUACGGCCACAUUGGGACUGAGAUACGGCCCAGACUCCUACGGGAGGCAGCAAUGGGGAAUAUUGCACAAUGGGCGCAAGCCUGAUGCAGCGACGCCGCGUGGGGGAUGAAGGCCUUCGGGUUGUAAACUCCUUUCGCUAGGGGCGAAGCUUUGUUGUGACGGUACCUAGAUAAGAAGCACCGGCUAACUACGUG